GGAUCUCCAUAUAUAUCUAUAUCUCCAUCCAUAUAUAUCUCUCCAUAUAUGGAUAUAUAUAUUGAUAUAUUGAUAUAUAUGGAGAUAU